AUACCCGAAAUUUGUUCAGGUGUUUUAUCGCUUAAUAGGGAACCCCGUGAAAAUCGGGGGCGGGCCCGCCGCUGUAAUCGGGGACGAACGCCGCUUGAAACCACUGACGGAGAAAAUGCAAAAUGCAAAGUGCAAAAUGCAAAGUUAACUUUGCACUUUUAACUUUACAUUUUGCAUUGUAUCUGUCGGGAAGGUGCGGUCAGUAGGAUGAACCGAGAGUCAGAAGACCUGUCUGAAUGAUAUACCGGCG
rnacentral:ncRNA from 2 species